UUAAGCGACUAAGCGUACACGGUGGAUGCCCUGGCAGUCAGAGGCGAUGAAGGACGUGCUAAUCUGCGAAAAGCGUCGGUAAGGUGAUAUGAACCGUUACAGCCGGCGAUGUCCGAAUGGGGAAACCCAGUGUGAUUCGUCACACUAUCGUUAACUGAAUACAUAGGUUAACGAGGCGAACCGGGGGAACUGAAACAUCUAAGUACCCCGAGGAAAAGAAAUCAACCGAGAUUCCCCCAGUAGCGGCGAGCGAACGGGGAGCAGCCCAGAGUCUGAAUCAGCUUGUGUGUUAGUGGAACGGUCUGGAAAGUCCGACGGUACAGGGUGAUAGUCCCGUACACCAAAAUGCACAGGCUGUGAACUCGAAGAGUAGGGCGGGACACGUGGUAUCCUGUCUGAAUAUGGGGGGACCAUCCUCCAAGGCUAAAUACUCCUGACUGACCGAUAGUGAACCAGUACCGUGAGGGAAAGGCGAAAAGAACCCCGGCGAGGGGAGUGAAAAAGAACCUGAAACCGUGUACGUACAAGCAGUGGGAGCACCUUCGGGUGUGACUGCGUACCUUUUGUAUAAUGGGUCAGCGACUUAUAUUCUGUAGCAAGGUUAACCGUAUAGGGGAGCCGCAGGGAAACCGAGUCUUAACUGGGCGUUAAGUUGCAGGGUAUAGACCCGAAACCCGGUGAUCUAGCCAUGGGCAGGUUGAAGGUUGGGUAACACUAACUGGAGGACCGAACCGACUAAUGUUGAAAAAUUAGCGGAUGACUUGUGGCUGGGGGUGAAAGGCCAAUCAAACCGGGAGAUAGCUGGUUCUCCCCGAAAGCUAUUUAGGUAGCGCCUCGUGAAUUCAUCUUCGGGGGUAGAGCACUGUUUCGGCUAGGGGGUCAUCCCGACUUACCAACCCGAUGCAAACUACGAAUACCGAAGAAUGUUAUCACGGGAGACACACGGCGGGUGCUAACGUCCGUCGUGAAGAGGGAAACAACCCAGACCGCCAGCUAAGGUCCCAAAGUCAUGGUUAAGUGGGAAACGAUGUGGGAAGGCACAGACAGCCAGGAUGUUGGCUUAGAAGCAGCCAUCAUUUAAAGAAAGCGUAAUAGCUCACUGGUCGAGUCGGCCUGCGCGGAAGAUGUAACGGGGCUAAACCAUGCACCGAAGCUGCGGCAGCGACACUAUGUGUUGUUGGGUAGGGGAGCGUUCUGUAAGCCUGCGAAGGUGUGCUGUGAGGCAUGCUGGAGGUAUCAGAAGUGCGAAUGCUGACAUAAGUAACGAUAAAGCGGGUGAAAAGCCCGCUCGCCGGAAGACCAAGGGUUCCUGUCCAACGUUAAUCGGGGCAGGGUGAGUCGACCCCUAAGGCGAGGCCGAAAGGCGUAGUCGAUGGGAAACAGGUUAAUAUUCCUGUACUUGGUGUUACUGCGAAGGGGGGACGGAGAAGGCUAUGUUAGCCGGGCGACGGUUGUCCCGGUUUAAGCAUGUAGGCUGGUUGUCCAGGCAAAUCCGGAUAAUCAAGGCUGAGGUGUGAUGACGAGGCACUACGGUGCUGAAGUAACAAAUGCCCUGCUUCCAGGAAAAGCCUCUAAGUAUCAGGUAACAUCAAAUCGUACCCCAAACCGACACAGGUGGUCAGGUAGAGAAUACCAAGGCGCUUGAGAGAACUCGGGUGAAGGAACUAGGCAAAAUGGUGCCGUAACUUCGGGAGAAGGCACGCUGGUGUGUAGGUGAAGUCCCUGCGGAUGGAGCUGAGACCAGUCGAAGAUACCAGCUGGCUGCAACUGUUUAUUAAAAACACAGCACUGUGCAAACACGAAAGUGGACGUAUACGGUGUGACGCCUGCCCGGUGCCGGAAGGUUAAUUGAUGGGGUUAUCCGUAAGGAGAAGCUCUUGAUCGAAGCCCCGGUAAACGGCGGCCGUAACUAUAACGGUCCUAAGGUAGCGAAAUUCCUUGUCGGGUAAGUUCCGACCUGCACGAAUGGCGUAAUGAUGGCCAGGCUGUCUCCACCCGAGACUCAGUGAAAUUGAACUCGCUGUGAAGAUGCAGUGUACCCGCGGCAAGACGGAAAGACCCCGUGAACCUUUACUAUAGCUUGACACUGAACAUUGAGCCUUGAUGUGUAGGAUAGGUGGGAGGCUUUGAAGCGUGGACGCCAGUCUGCGUGGAGCCAACCUUGAAAUACCACCCUUUAAUGUUUGAUGUUCUAACGUUGGCCCCUGACCGGGGUUGCGGACAGUGUCUGGUGGGUAGUUUGACUGGGGCGGUCUCCUCCCAAAGCGUAACGGAGGAGCACGAAGGUUAGCUAAUCCUGGUC
rnacentral:rRNA from 1 species